ACUCAAAUGAAUUGACGGGGACUCGCACAAGCAGUGGAGCAUGUGGUUUAAUCCGAUACGACGCGUAGAACCUUACCAAGGCUUGACAUGUUGGGCAAAGCUAAGGAAACUUAGUGGAGGUUAUCCUAACACAGGUGCUGCAUGGUCGUCGUCAGUUCGUGCCGUGAGGUGUAUGGUUAAGUCCUAUAACGAACGCAACCCUUGAACUUAGUUACCAUCAUUCAGUUGGGGACUCUAAGUUGACUGCCUGAGUAAUCAGGAGGAAGGAAAGGACGACGUCUGAUCGUCAUGGCCCUUAUGCCUUGGGCGACACACGUGCUACAAUGGCUAACACAAAGGGAAGUCCGAAAGGCGCCAACCCGCGAGGGUGAGCAAAUCCCAAAAAAUUAGCCUCAGUUCGGAUUGGAGGCUGCAACUCGCCUCCAUGAAGUCGGAAUUGCUAGUAAUCGCAAAUCAGCCAUGUUGCGGUGAAUACGUUCUCGAGUCUUGUACACACCGCCCGU
rnacentral:rRNA from 1 species